UGUCAAAUAUAGUUCAACUUCCCAGACUAGCCAAAUAUUUUGAUAUAGGAGACCCCUUUUUCACAUACUACUCAACGAAUAUAUACAUAAAACAUACAUGGUCAGUUUCUCCAACUACCCAUAAAACAUACAUGGUCAGUUUCUCCAACUACCCUUGCGCUCUAUAUUUAUCAUUUGUAGGCGUUACAUCUAGAUGGCCAAUGAGAAAACCUACUAGUAUCAUUCCUAACCAGGUAUU
rnacentral:lncRNA from 1 species